CAUUUUCUUCCCAAAAAUUUUGGUUUUAAGUCCAAAAAUCUCCAAAAGUGAAGGGGUUUCUCUCUAUUUGUUAAAGGUUGGGUACGGUUUUUGUUGAACUACAGAGAAAGAUUGCAAGGAAUUGAAGGUGUUGAUAUGGCUGAUGUUAUUGCUCGAUCUCACGGGGGUGAUGGUGGAGGUUGCGAUCCUCCACGUGGACCGUCAAAUAUCCCAGCUGAUUGUGAACGAG